rnacentral:rRNA from 1 species
GACGAACGCUGGCGGCGUGCCUAAUACAUGCAAGUAGAACGCUGAAGGAGGAGCUUGCUUCUCUGGAUGAGUUGCGAACGGGUGAGUAACGCGUAGGUAACCUGCCUGGUAGCGGGGGAUAACUAUUGGAAACGAUAGCUAAUACCGCAUAACAGUAGAUGUUGCAUGACAUUUGCUUAAAAGGUGCAAUUGCAUCACUACCAGAUGGACCUGCGUUGUAUUAGCUAGUUGGUGGGGUAACGGCUCACCAAGGCGACGAUACAUAGCCGACCUGAGAGGGUGAUCGGCCACACUGGGACUGAGACACGGCCCAGACUCCUACGGGAGGCAGCAGUAGGGAAUCUUCGGCAAUGGACGGAAGUCUGACCGAGCAACGCCGCGUGAGUGAAGAAGGUUUUCGGAUCGUAAAGCUCUGUUGUAAGAGAAGAACGAGUGUGAGAGUGGAAAGUUCACACUGUGACG